AUUUAAACAGGGAGACUGCUGCCAGAGUCCACGUGCGGGAGAGCUGGUGGCUAGCCAGGGUAUUGUUAGCUGCUCUGGCAAGGGCUGUGGACACCAGCUUACUGAAUAGUUAGACCCCAGGCUGCCCCUUGUCAGCCCAGCACAAAGAGAAGCCAGAGUGGCUGGGGGAGGGGUGACAAGCAGGGGACAUCUCUUCCUCUCCUCCUCCUGGGAGCACCCAUCUGGUCGGUAUCACCUGCGGACUUGUGCUCUGAGAAGCCUGCUUUCAGCCUCAGGAGUGACAAGAUGUCAGACACCUCCCUGAAGAAAUUUGCAAUCCAGUAAGAAGGGUGAGAUGAAGAGGAUUAUAGGGCAAGUGUGAAAUAAAUGGAAUGAAAACAAGGGAUCCUUGAGCAAUGAACAAAUCCAUCCAGCUUGGGGAGAAGAGAAAGGUCAGGGGAGUCUUCCUGAAGUUGAUGGCAUUUGAGGCAAGGUCUCUCCAUGUGAUGACAGCCAGCGGCUCGAAACUUGCAGCCCCCACUGUAACUAUACCAUGUGAAAAGGGCUUCGUUUUCCUUCUAAUUCCAAUAAAACUCUCAAGUUGAC